AGCGGCGGACGGGUGAGAACGCGUGGGAAUAUGCCCUUCUCUAAGGAAUAGCCUCGGGAAACUGAGAGUAAUACCAUAUACGCCCUUCGGGGGAAAGAUUUAUCGGAGAAGGAUCAGCCCGCGUAAGAUUAGAUAGUUGGUGGGGUAAUGGCCUACCAAGUCUACGAUCUUUAGCUGGUUUUAAAGGAUGAUCAGCAACACUGGGACUGAGACACGGCCCAGACUCCUACGGGAGGCAGCAGUGGGGAAUCUUANANAANGGGCGCAAGCCUGAUCUAGCCAUGCCGCGUGUGUGAUGAAGGCCUUAGGGUCGUAAAGCACUUUCGCCAGGGAUGAUAAUGACAGUACCUGGUAAAGAAACCCCGGCUAACUCCGUGCCAGCAGCCGCGGUAAUACGGAGGGGGUUAGCGUUGUUCGGAAUUACUGGGCGUAAAGCGCACGUAGGCGGAUCAGAAAGUUGGGGGUGAAAUCCCAGGGCUCAACCCUGGAACUGCCUCCAAAACUCCUGGUCCUGAGUUCGAGAGAGGUGAGUGGAAUUCCGAGUGUAGAGGUGAAAUUCGUAGAUAUUCGGAGGAACACCAGUGGCGAAGGCGGCUCACUGGCUCGAUACUGACGCUGAGGUGCGAAAGUGUGGGGAGCAAACAGGAUUAGAUACCCUGGUAGUCCACACCGA
rnacentral:rRNA from 1 species